rnacentral:rRNA from 1 species
UACGUAGGGGGCAAGCGUUGUUCGGAAUUACUGGGCGUAAAGGGCGCGUAGGCGGCACGACAAGUCGGGAGUGAAAGCCCGGGGCUCAACCCCGGAAUGUCUCUCGAAACUGUCGAGCUAGAGUGCAGAAGAGGCAACUGGACUUCCCAGUGUAGCGGUGAAAUGCGUAGAUAUUGGGAAGAACACCUGAGGCGAAGGCGGGUUGCUGGGCUGACACUGACGCUGAGGCGCGAAAGCCAGGGGAGCGAACGGG